CUGCAUUUUUGUAUAUUUUCUAGUGAAACCUUGAUAGCCACAGCAACAUAUUAGUUAAGAAAAAAAAAACAUUUCUCUGUGCUCCAUUUGAUAGAUAAAUAGAACAAUUUAACUUAAAAAAAUAAUUAAUCUUCUCAGUGUUAUUUGUGAAAACAAUUUUCUAAAAAAACAAUCUACCACACAAAUUCUUUGGCACGUCACACAAAUUCCACCACCAUUUCCACCAUCAAAAUGCACAGCCUCAGCCUUGUGCAUUUAGAAAAAAAAUCAUAAAAAAAUGACACAAAAACCACCACCAAUUGAUUUGGAAAAUAAAGAGAUCAAUUCCAGACAUCAAUGACUGAGUUUACAGUUCAAAAGGUUCCUCCACAGACUUUGUAGUGUCUGCACCCUCCGACUACUUGUUGAUGUUUUCGCUCUAAUCCCAGACAAAAACAACAUUCAACAAUUCUAUAUCGAGUAUAAAAAUGACGUCAGAGACUCCUUGCUCGCCACAGUAUUGGAUGCAGUCCGUUCGAGUGACAAUCAAGAUGUGCACGUUCGUAUUACAAACAGAUUGCGAGGCAUGCAUUUUGUUUCCCUCAACAGUUGUGUGGAUAGAUAUAAGAUUUUAGAGAAAUUCAACGCCAACAUUUCUCAUAGUGGUCUCAAUUAAAGUGUCACACAAGACGUAUGUUUUGAUAUUAUAUAAUUCGACUGAAUAAAUCUAAAUCUCUAACCAAAGUUUGA